CCUCGGCCGGCGGCGGCGCCACGCGCGGGGGGUGCGCGCGCACCGGGCCCCCGGCUGCCGCCUCCCCGCGGCUGGGCUUUUGUCUGUUGCGGGGUCCUGGGGACGCGCGCACGUGCUUGGAGCACACACCCCCUCGGGUCCCGAGCUCCGCGGCGGGGCGACCCCCCUUCCUCACUCCUUCCCUACCCCCUCCUCCUCUUUGUCCCGGUCCCGCCCCCGAUUCCAGGAGAGUCCCAGGUUCCCGAGGCGGGAAACGUCGCCUCCUUUGUCCUCACAGGGCGCGGAGAGCCGGACCCCUCCUUGGAAGCCCCUUCCCACGCGGAUUGCUGAGGAAGCCUUUGUGGAGUUGAAGUAUUGAUAACACCAAGGAACUCUAUCACAAUUUGAAAAGAUAAGCAAAAGUUUGAUUUCCAGACACUACAGAAGAAGUAAAAAUGCGUCCAAUGCGAAUUUUUGUGAAUGAUGACCGCCAUGUGAUGGCAAAGCAUUCUUCCGUUUAUCCAACACAAGAGGAGCUGGAGGCAGUCCAGAACAUGGUGUCCCACACGGAGCGGGCGCUCAAAGCUGUGUCUGACUGGAUAGACGAGCAGGAAAAGGGUAGCAGCGAGCAGGCAGAGUCCGAUAACAUGGAUGUGCCCCCAGAGGACGACAGUAAAGAAGGGGCCGGGGAACAGAAGACGGAGCACAUGACCAGAACCCUGCGGGGAGUGAUGCGGGUGGGCCUGGUGGCAAAGGGCCUCCUACUCAAGGGGGACUUGGAUCUGGAGCUGGUGCUGCUGUGUAAGGAGAAGCCCACAACCGCCCUCCUGGACAAGGUGGCCGACAACCUGGCCAUCCAGCUUGCUGCUGUAACAGAAGACAAGUACGAAAUACUGCAAUCUGUCGACGAUGCUGCGAUUGUGAUAAAAAACACAAAAGAGCCUCCAUUGUCCCUGACCAUCCACCUGACAUCCCCUGUUGUCAGAGAAGAAAUGGAGAAAGUAUUAGCUGGAGAAACGCUAUCAGUCAACGACCCCCCGGACGUUCUGGACAGGCAGAAAUGCCUUGCUGCCUUGGCGUCCCUCCGACACGCCAAGUGGUUCCAGGCCAGAGCCAACGGGCUGAAGUCUUGUGUCAUUGUGAUCCGGGUCUUGAGGGACCUGUGCACUCGCGUGCCCACCUGGGGUCCCCUCCGAGGCUGGCCUCUCGAGCUCCUGUGUGAGAAAUCCAUUGGCACGGCCAACAGACCGAUGGGUGCUGGCGAGGCCCUGCGGAGAGUGCUGGAGUGCCUGGCGUCGGGCAUCGUGAUGCCAGAUGGUUCUGGCAUUUAUGACCCUUGUGAAAAAGAAGCCACUGAUGCUAUUGGGCAUCUAGACAGACAGCAACGGGAAGAUAUCACACAGAGUGCGCAGCACGCACUGCGGCUUGCUGCCUUCGGCCAGCUCCAUAAAGUCCUGGGCAUGGACCCUCUGCCUUCCAAGAUGCCCAAGAAACCAAAGAAUGAAAACCCAGUGGACUACACCGUUCAGAUCCCACCAAGCACCACCUAUGCCAUUACGCCCAUGAAACGCCCAAUGGAGGAGGACGGGGAGGAGAAGUCGCCCAGCAAAAAGAAGAAGAAGAUUCAGAAGAAAGAGGAGAAGGCAGAGCCCCCCCAGGCUAUGAAUGCCCUGAUGCGGUUGAACCAGCUGAAGCCAGGGCUGCAGUACAAGCUGGUGUCCCAGACUGGGCCCGUCCAUGCCCCCAUCUUUACCAUGUCUGUGGAGGUUGAUGGCAAUUCAUUCGAGGCCUCUGGGCCCUCCAAAAAGACGGCCAAGCUGCACGUGGCCGUUAAGGUGUUACAGGACAUGGGCUUGCCGACGGGUGCUGAAGGCAGGGACUCGAGCAAGGGGGAGGACUCGGCUGAGGAGACCGAGGCGAAGCCAGCAGUGGUGGCCCCCGCCCCAGUGGUAGAAGCUGUCUCCACCCCUAGUGUGGCCUUUCCCUCAGAUGCCACUGCCGAGCAGGGGCCGAUCCUGACAAAGCACGGCAAGAACCCAGUCAUGGAGCUGAACGAGAAGAGGCGUGGGCUCAAGUACGAGCUCAUCUCCGAGACCGGGGGCAGCCAUGACAAGCGCUUCGUCAUGGAGGUCGAAGUGGAUGGACAGAAGUUCCAAGGUGCUGGUUCCAACAAAAAGGUGGCGAAGGCCUACGCUGCUCUUGCUGCCCUAGAAAAGCUUUUCCCUGACACCCCUCUCGCCCUUGAUGCCAACAAAAAGAAGAGAGCCCCAGUACCCGUCAGAGGGGGACCGAAAUUUGCUGCUAAGCCACAUAACCCUGGCUUCGGCAUGGGAGGCCCCAUGCACAACGAAGUGCCCCCACCCCCCAACCUUCGAGGGCGGGGAAGAGGCGGGAACAUCCGGGGACGAGGGCGCGGGCGAGGAUUUGGUGGCGCCAACCAUGGAGGCUACAUGAAUGCCGGUGCUGGGUAUGGAAGCUAUGGGUACGGAGGCAACUCGGCGACAGCAGGCUACAGUGACUUUUUCACAGACUGCUACGGCUAUCAUGAUUUUGGGUCUUCCUAGAGCGUCUAAAAGUAUUGCACACAAAAUCAACUUUUUACUCCAAUUUCCUCCAACUCCAAAACCCAAAGUGUCCGUGCUGUGUCCCUGUGCUUCACUGGGUUUCUCAACCGUGGCUUUUCACCGCAGCUUGUCUGAAACUCUUAGCCUGCAGAAUUUAAGACAAUGGCAGUUUUUAUCGUGAUUUGCCUUUGAACUUGGUCCUAUUGAAGUUCACAAUAAGUGGAAAACAAUUUUUUCAGAGAAUGUAUUUUUGUGCAGAAUUGCACAGAAUUCUAGAGACAGCGUUGUUCGGCAUCAAGGCAAAAGCCCACCUUUGCUUUUUAUGGAAAGCAUUACUUUAUUUAAAGACACAGACAAUGACGCAUUUUAAUCUACCUUUGUCUUAAUUUACAGCAGGUUUUGUAUGAAUUUUUAACCUUUUAACAAACUCCCAAAUCUGGUUGAUGCCUUUGACAGUGAUGAAAACGAUUUCACCACAUCUGAAUCCAGAGAAACCGGCUUUUUUUCUUAUUGCGAGCAUGUUAAAACGUUGGGAACAUGUGGGGAAUUGUAUAUUGCGCUGAAUUAACUUCUCCCGCCUCUUGUAAUGCUCUGGUGGGUUCUUGUUUGGGAAUGCGAUAUUUUGUGGCUGGUUUAGCUAGAGAGUGAACUCUCAAAGGUAUCAAAACUGUGCUUCCAUUAUUAGUGCAAGAAACAGACAGGCUUUAAGGGGUAGAUGACGUGAAAUUUUGCAAGUCUUAAUUACAGCUGCAGAUGCAUGGGAUUCUGGAUUUUUUUGUUGCUUUUUAGUUUAAUGGGACUUUAAAAGUAAUUGAGAAAGAACCGUGAUGUUCCCUGUUUCUCCAGUAAAGGACUGGCUUUUGCUUGGGCAGAGGUGGUGCUGCUGGGUGUGCAGCUGCCACAGACUCCAAAGCCGUAGAAGUUUGUCUGUGCAAACACACGGAGUCAUUCUGGCUCUCUACUGAGGCCCCUGUUUUCUGGCAGGUGCCCUCCUUGGAAACUGGUUUUGGCUCUGAUCAGCGGUUCUUUUUGCAGCAAAGCCUGCAUCUGUGUUGACUUGCAAGAUUUUGCGUUUAUUCAGGCAAAAACUGGUCAAAAUGGUUACUACAUGAUUUGUUCCCAGAGGUUUGAAACAUUCAGUGAAACUUUUUAAAACUUUGAUUGCAUGAUGUAUUUUUUUUUUAGAAAGUUAUUGUUUGAGAAUAAUGUCUUUUUAUACCAGGAAAAUAGUUAUCCUGAAUGACGUUGAAAACUCCCCCUCCCCUUUAUUUUUUUUUAAUCAAUACAUGUGAAAGUAACAAGCCCUCGGCCCUUGCGUCUUCAUUCAUUCCCGGCUUCAGGCGGGGCGAGGUGGUGUGCUCAGUGCAGGACACUGGGGAAGCUGGGGCUGUGGGGCUGUGGGGUGUGGGUCCUGGUGGGGGCGGUUCUGAAGAUCCCAUCCUCCCAGUCUCCUCGCUGAGCUGCCGCAUGUUCGCUUUCUGGCAUUGUGGGACACAUCCUCCCUCUUGGUGUCUUGGCUUUGUGAUGGCGGGCGAGGGAGGAGGCCUGCCUGAAGAACACAAACUGAAGGUUGCAGAUAGUUCUGUCCACGUUGUCAUGCAGGCAGCCCACCACACCAGCGUGGGGUACACAUCUCCAGUGGGUGGAGGCACGUGAGGACUCCCAGUUACCCUACCCAGGAGGCGGUGGGCCCUUAGUGUCCUCAAUCUGGGAAGGAAGGACAGGCAGCGUGGGAGCCUCCCCUUCCCUCCCACCCACCCUGGGCCUGGAGGUCUGGGCAGCCUGACUGGGCAAAGGUGGCUGCAUUCACAAGCCGACCCGCUCUGAGAGCCCAGGAACUCAGCUGCGCCUGGUGAGCGCUUGGGCGUUGGCCAGCUUGGCUGGAGAGCCACCACCAUGACCCAGCCUCCCACCUCACCCACCCUCUGAGCCUUCCCACACCCACUGUGGAGACUCCCUGUGUGGGGCUCCCUUGCAAGGCUUGGGGUGCAGCAUUCCCUCAGCCAGUGCCGUCCCCUUUGUUCCACUCGAGCCUCUGGCGGGGCCGUGUAUUGACAAACCUAGUGACCAGAAGUGGGGUCUCACUGCUACAUUUUCAGCUUGCGGCUGAGAAUGUAGUGGCUGCACUGCACACUUUCAGCCCUGCUGCUCAGCCCCACCUGCACCCAGCAGCUGUGCUGGGGACAAGGAAGGGGCCUCGGGAGUCAUUAGGGCUGUAGGUCUAGGCCUCACCCGGCUUUCCUGCCCUAGCCGUGGCCACUGCCCUCUGCCAGCCAGGCUGGGGCUUGCUCACAUCCUGAGUCACAUGCUUGCAUGAGUAUCGCAAGGGAGGUACCUGCAUCAUUGACUGAGUCUCGAUUUGUCUUCCAAGAACCAAACCAGCUCAGACCAGUUGGUCUUCUCAGGAUGAUGAUGGUCCAGGGGCCUCUUUAAAUAGCAUCUUUUAGGGGCCUCCAGGCCUGUGCCUGUGGAGCCUGUUCCCAGCAUAGCAGGGAGGAGGGGGGUGGCCGCUGCUUCUCUGGGGCUUUGCUUUUCCUGUCACCAUUGGGGAUCUCUGGGUAGCCGUCAGCUAGCUGUGAAUGUCGUCCCGCGCUCGGAGUCCAUCUCAUUGUAAUGUUGACAUCCGCUGCAAAAGCUGCUGGCGCGUGCUGCUUGGCAAAGCCCCAUUGUUGUCAUCAGCUGCUGGGUGAGUGGAGCUGAAGGCUGGGCCAGCCCAAACGGCUGUGCUAAGGACCGGAGCCACUGCUCCUCUCCCUCCUUGUCCUACUGCCUCUGACCUGGGCUUGUGGGUCAGCCUUCAGGACCCAUGGCUACCGCCUGCCCUUCCCUCCCCUCCCCCUGCCCUUUCCCGUCCUCCGCCUGACCCACUGCCUCCCUGUUUAGGUCAGUUCUACAGCAACGGAGGGCAUUCUGGGAAUGCCGGUGGCGGUGGCGGCGGGGGCGGUGGUGGCUCCUCCGGCUAUGGCUCCUACUACCAAGGUGACAACUACAACUCACCGGUGCCCCCAAAACACGCUGGGAAGAAGCAGCCGCACGGGGGCCAGCAGAAGCCCUCCUACGGCUCGGGCUACCAGUCCCACCAGGGCCAGCAGCAGUCCUACAACCAGAGCCCCUACAGCAACUAUGGCCCUCCACAGGGCAAGCAGAAAGGCUAUAACCAUGGACAAGGCAGCUACUCCUACUCGAACUCCUACAACUCUCCCGGGGGCGGGGGCGGAUCCGACUACAACUACGAGAGCAAAUUCAACUACAGUGGUAGUGGAGGCCGAAGCGGCGGGAACAGCUACGGCUCAGGCGGGGCAUCCUACAACCCAGGGUCACACGGGGGCUACGGCGGAGGUUCUGGGGGCGGCUCCUCAUACCAAGGCAAACAAGGAGGCUACUCACAGUCGAACUACAACUCCCCGGGGUCCGGCCAGAACUACAGUGGCCCUCCCAGCUCCUACCAGUCCUCACAAGGCGGCUAUGGCAGAAACGCAGACCACAGCAUGAACUACCAGUACAGAUAAGCCCCCGCGGGGCGGAGAUUUCUACCUUCUGCACUUACUCCCCAUCAGAAGAUCGAGUUUUAUGCAUCACAGUUAACAUGUCAGCUGGCCCUCCAGGCCCCCGCCCCCACCCCGUCCACGUUGCUGUGUCGUGAGGUGCAGCGGGUCACCCUGUGGCCCGUCCUGUGACCCAUAUUUAGCCGUGUUUGGGACUCCGUGUCUUCAAUGGUUUGUUAGUUGCCAUUACAACUUUGUCUGGGUAGAGUUUUUGAGUUUUUGCAGUUCAGUAUCCCUCUGUCUAUUCACACUUCGUGUUAGUGGUAACUCAGUUUGUCUUUAAAUAGUUACGGAAGGGAUACGUCAUUUGUUAAUGCUUUUGUGAAGUGAGUUACACGAGCUUUCUGUAUUUUAAUGCUUUAGUGUUUCAGUUUUAUAAGUGAAGAUUUUAUUUUAAAAACCAGUGGGAAAGAGUGGGGGGUUUCUUUUUAUGUCUGGGUCAUUCAGGCAGUACAUCUGAAUUAAGCUGAAUGUAGACAAAUAAAGAAAAACAAAACUGC